rnacentral:rRNA from 1 species
GAUGAACGCUGGCGGCGUGCCUAAUACAUGCAAGUCGAGCGAACAGACGAGGAGCUUGCUCCUCUGGCGUUAGCGGCGGACGGGUGAGUAACACGUGGAUAACCUACCUAUAAGACUGGGAUAACUUCGGGAAACCGGAGCUAAUACCGGAUAAUAUAUUGAACCGCAUGGUUCAAUAGUGAAAGACGGUUUUGCUGUCACUUAUAGAUGGAUCCGCGCCGCAUUAGCUAGUUGGUAAGGUAACGGCUUACCAAGGCAACGAUGCGUAGCCGACCUGAGAGGGUGAUCGGCCACACUGGAACUGCGACACGGUCCAGACUCCUACGGGAGGCAGCAGUAGGGAAUCUUCCGCAAUGGGCGAAAGCCUGACGGAGCAACGCCGCGUGAGUGAUGAAGGUCUUCGGAUCGUAAAACUCUGUUAUUAGGGAAGAACAAAUGUGUAAGUAACUAUGCACGUCUUGACGGUACCUAAUCAGAAAGCCACGGCUAACUACGUG